rnacentral:misc_RNA from 1 species
UUUCCGUAGGUGAACCUGCGGAAGGAUCAUUAAUAAAUUUUUUUUUGAAAUAAAAAAAAAAUAAUAAUCAUCCUACCCUUUGUGAAUUUGUUUUGUUGAAUAAUUUUUUAAAAUUAUUUAUUGUCUAUCCAAGUUGGAAAGUUGUAAAAAGACUCGAAGACUUGGGGCGGCAUAAAUAAAUUUAAAGACUUUUUUCUAAAAUUAAACUUUUUGUAUUCAUUUGUCUAAAAUAAUUUUUAUAAUAUAUAAAAACAACUUUUGACAAUGGAUCUCUUGGUUCUCGCAACGAUGAAGAACGCAGCAAAAUGCGAUAAGUAAUGUGAAUUGCAGAAUACGUGAAUCAUCGAAUCUUCGAACGCAUAUUGCACUUUUUUAGUUUACUAAAAAAGUAUGUCUGUUUGAGUAUCAGUAAAAUAUUCUCAUAAAAUUUUUUAAUUUUAUGGUUAUGAGUGUUUUACAACGAUAAACAAGUUGUUUCACUUUAAAUUGAAUUUUUUUGAAGAAAUUCUUUAAUUCAAAUUAAAUUUGGAUAAAAUUUCCCGUAAAAAGGAAUAACUAUACAAGUUUAAUAAGAAUUUAGUGAUUUCUUUUAUGAAAAGGAAAUUUAUUAAAUAACUUGAUCUCAAAUCAGAUGAGAGUACCCGCUGAACUUAAGCAUAUCAAUAAGCGGAGGAAAAGAAACUAACAAGGAUUCCCCUAGUAACGGCGAGUGAAGCGGGAAGAGCUCAAAUUUGAAAUCUUAAAGGGUUUCCCUUUACGAAUUGUAGUUUAAAGAAGUGAUUUCUGUUGAGGUUUUGGUAAAAGUUCUUUGGAAUAGGACAUCAUAGAGGGUGAGAAUCCCGUAUUUGACCUUUACUUUCAACUUUGUGAUACACUUUCAAAGAGUCGGAUUGUUUGGGAAUGCAGUCCAAAAUGGGUGGUAAAUUUCAUCUAAAGCUAAAUAUUGGCGAGAGACCGAUAGCGAACAAGUACCGUGAGGGAAAGAUGAAAAGAACUUUGAAAAGAGAGUUAAACAGUACGUGAAAUUGUCAAAAGGGAAGCGUUUGACACCAGUGUUGUUUUUCUGAAAAUCAAUUAAAGAACUGUUUAUGCUAAGUUGUUUAGACUUUAUCAGCUAACUGUUUAGUUUUGAGCUUUUCUUUAAUGCACUUUUCAGUUAACAAGUCAACAUCAAUUUCUUUUGCUGUAAAAAAGCUUGAGGAAGGUGGCUUGAGAUUCGUCUUAAGUGUUUAUAGCCUCUUGCCUAUGCAGUCGGAGAGAUUGAGGUCUGCAGCGUAGAUCCUUCGGGGCUAAAUGCAUUUGUGCUAAGUUAUAGCAUUUUAUAGACAACUUGUUGACUAUGAUCUGUCUUGUAGCUUACUCGCUUAUGUUAUUUUACCUACGCU